CAGCAGCCACGGGAAUACAGAGGGUGCGAGCGUUAAUCGGAAUUACUGGGCGUAAAGCGUGCGUAGGUGGUGGUUUAAGUCCGUUGUGAAAGCCCUGGGCUCAACCUGGGAAUUGCAGUGGAUACUGGGUCACUAGAGUGUGGUAGAGGAUAGUGGAAUUUCCGGUGUAGCAGUGAAAUGCGUAGAGAUCGGAAGGAACAUCUGUGGCGAAGGCGACUAUCUGGGCCAACACUGACACUGAGGCACGAAAGCGUGGGGAGCAAACAGGAUUAGAGACCCCUGUAGUCCCUGUCUCUUAUAC
rnacentral:rRNA from 1 species